rnacentral:lncRNA from 10 species
CCCCUGUUGCCAUAUGAGGCUACAGCUAGAAGAUGGCCACCUGGGGACCAGGAAGCAGGCCCUCACCGGACACCAAGUCUGCUGGCACCUUGAUCUUGGACUUCCCAGCUUCCAGAGCUGUGAGAAAUACAUUUCUGGGCUGGGCGCAGUGGCUCACGCCUGUAAUCCCAGCACUUUGGGAGGCCAAGGCGGGUGGAUCACCAGGUCAGGAGAUUGAGACCAUCCUGGCUAUAUAGUGAAACCCUGUCUCUACUAAAAACACAAAAAAUUAGCCAAGCGUCAUGAUAUUGUGAUUUCUCUUUACAAGAGGCACAGACAAGGGCAUUUCAAUGGGACCCAAUUUUGUACAUGAUCAUUCAGAGAUAAGAAAACUGAGGCUCACAGAAGUUACAUGGCUUGCCCAAAGUCCCAUUGCUUGAAAGUGCCAAACUACAGAAAGCACAAUGGAAGGAAGAUCAGGAGAGACGUGCCAUAUCCAAAGCCCUGCAAAGGGCUUUUGGAAACUUUGAUUCAAGAAAUAGAGCGGUUGGUAAUAAUCUCUGAUGAUCAGUCCGAGCUUGGCAUUUUCAUUGCACCUCAAUGUGCCCAGGUGAAAUGAUGUUAAUGGGAAGGAAAAGGGGAAAAUUAUGAUUUCAAGAACAGUCAUGAUGAGAACAGACAUAUGCCAGCGAACAAAAUCCUGUGCCUUUUGUGAGCCUGACAGCUGCCUUCAGUCCUGCUGGUCUGACCCCUGUAGUGACAUCAGGAAGAGUCCAGAAAGCAUCAGCAUUCCACUCCCACUUUCCCAGUGCAGCCAGGAAAAGGCCUAGUCACCAAGGAGGGCCUGCUUCCAGUUCUGUUUUUCCCAAGUCACUCACUGACAGGAGCUGAGGCCCAUAAUCAGAGGAAGCAAAAACGCUUCUCCCCUUAUUGCCAAGGGAAUCGCCAGGGGAUGCAGAGUGGCUCCAGGAGGAAAAUUAUGCUGAGCUGAGGCUUAGCCAUGGAGGAAGGCCCAAGGGCAUCAUCUAUGAACGUGUACGGGGUCACCUAGGCUUUUACAUGUGUACGAUGCUCGGUGUUUUGUUGUUGGGGGAUUUUAUAAUUACCCAAAUUACCUUGCUUCAACCUAUUUAGCAAUUCAUUUAAAGGAACUCUCCUAAUACGUGAAAGACCAGAAAAGACAGCUGAUUAGAAAUUCCAAUGGCCGGGUAUGGUGGCUCACACCUGUAAUCCCAGCACAUUGGGAGGCCAAGGAGGGAGAAUCACUUGAGGUCUGGAGUUCAAGUCCAGCCUGGCCAACAUGGUGAAACCCUGUCUCUACUAAAAAUACAAAAACAUUAACUGGGGGUGUUGGUGCAUGCCUGUAGGCCCAGCUACUUGGGAGGCGGAGGUGGGAGAAUUUCUUGAACCUGGAAAGCAGAGGCUGUAGUGAGCUGAGAUGGCACCACUGCACUCCAGCCUUCCAGCCUGGGUGACAGAGCAAGACUCCAUCUCAAAAAAAAAAAAAAAAA